rnacentral:lncRNA from 1 species
AACUACAUAACUAGUAACAAGAAACUGAACUGGGGAAGCAGAGAGUAAAUGGAGAAUUUUGAUGACAUUUCAUGAUACUAAGAUUUUCCAUCAGAGCUCCUUCCUACAUAACAAAUGCUGAUGAUAAUAAUAAUAUUCUAUAUUGGAAGUGAGAAAUUCUGCCAAGAAGUCUCAUGCUGCCAAUAGCCUACAAAGAAUGAAAUUAUAACCCCAGCUCAAUUGGUGCUGCAUGUUUAAAGUAUUCCGUCUGUUUAACUUCAUAAAAGUUGGCCCCUUUCAGAUAGCAUCAUUAUUUCCCAUGUAUGUUGUGGGAUACAUUGAACCAAGCAAAUUUCAGAAGAUCAUUUAUAUGAACAUGAUUUCAGUUACCCUUAGUUUCAUUUUGAUGUUUGGAAAUUCAAUGUACUUAUCUUCUUAUUAUUCUUCAUCUUUGUUAAUGACGUGGGCAAUAAUUCUAAAGAGAAAUGAAAUUCAAAAACUGGGAGUAUCUAAACUCAACUUUUGGCUAAUUCAAGGUAGUGCCUGGUGGUGUGGAACAAUCAUUUUGAAAUUUCUGACAUCUAAAAUCUUAGGCGUUUCAGACCACAUUCGCCUGAGUGAUCU